AAGUGACCGCGUGGGCUUCUGAGAGAUGUACUUCGGGGCUUGACUGCGCAGGCGCAGAUCUGGCCCGUGGCGCUCCGUGCUUUGUUCCGUCAUCCCGCGCGUAAGUGAGAUCGGUAGUGGCAGCGGUGCGGGACACUCACCUGGGCUGGGAUCUGGGGUCUUCCGUGACUCUGGCCGUUAUGUGAACCUAGCCUCGCCCGUUUCUGUGCAUGGAAUCCUUUUUGCUCCCUUGGGCCGGGGAGAGUCGCUUUGGAGACAGCGGGGACUGCCCGAGCGGGCGUCGCGGGGUUUAGGGGAUCUCAGGAUCCCAGAGGUAUUGGGUCACCGGUGCGGCACUGGCUUUCGCAGAAGGGGUAGGAGCCUCCCAGUUCGGGGGCACAGCAGGAAGGACAGCCGGCCCAGCACUUCAGAGACUGGAGCCAGCCUGACCCGCAUCCCUCCCGUUUUAGUGAGACGUCCGGAAUUCCGAGAGUGGGGACAACCGAGGUCCCACGACGGAGUCAUUUGGAGCCUCACCUUCUAGGGGGGCCUUUGGUCCCCAAAGGGUGAAAUGAGGGAGACCAAAAGCAUAAUAUAUUAACAGGAAAAAAAAAAUACCUUGUUAUAUUAAACUAUUUAGCACUGACUGCAUGCGAGGCUCUUUCACUAAUUCAUCAAACAGGGAUUUAGAUAUUCUGGGUGCCAGGCCCACUCCUAGGUCCAGGAGCCUCUGCAUAGACCCCCAACAUGGUCUGCAUCCCCUGAAACCUACAGGGGAGAUGAUUUUUAAAAACCUAUGAACACAUCACUGAAGGCGGUCACUCCCAUCCUGGACACUGCAGUGAAGACGAGGCACAACAGGGCGGGGCAGAACUGAGCGCACAGUCACUCAGAGUCACGAAGGGAAGGUACAGAGACGAGGGAAAGGUAUCCUAGCUUGGGCCUGAGUUUCUUUGGGGGAAAAUACCCCAUGAGGAGCUUACAAGGCACCAGGAACAGGUAGCGGUAUCUGUGUCUUAGACUGUGACGCUCACUGAAACUCGAGGCUUCCCUGCCGGCAGCAGUCACCGUCAAGUGUAUACCGCUGCUGCGCUCCGCUGUCAGCCCUUUUCACACUUAAAUUUUGGUCAUACCCAUGUUGGGUCACACCCUCCUUUUAUGGGGAGCGGGGGACUGAGGCACACCACGCAGUUCCCAGGGACCCCAGACCUGUCUGGCUUUCUGUGAUAGUCACGAAUCGUCAUCACCCUGGAAUUCAGCUGCACUCAGCGGUGUGCCUCUUCCCACCCUAGUCCUGUUUUCCUGUCUUUGGAAUGAGUGGGGACAGUUUGAGGUCAUUCAUCGGUAGCGCCUGGAAUAUCCCUGGGCACACAGCAGGCGCUCAGAAAACGCAAGCUGAGGUCUGCCGCUGUCAGGUCUGGCCUGGGUGCUGGGGUCCGCUUCUGGCAUCCGGGCUCUUCUACCCGCAAUCAGGGGACCUGCCGCGUGGGGUCUGUAUUCGGCACAGGGCCCGCUCAGUCUCUCGCAUCCCCUUUCGCCCAGCACUGCUGCAGAAGAGCCAGCUGUUCUGCAAGAGGCCGGAGGAGGGGAUGACGGCUGGGCUCCUUGAUGCCGGCGUGCUGAUCCCCGAGGACCUUGCGGCUUGCCCCACCUGCCCCUGCUCAUCCCUCCAUGUGAGGAGUCAGGCAUUUCUUCAGCACACGGUUUGGUUCCAUCUCCUGGCUCACUGUCUUCCUCACUUGGUAGAUGUGAUGAAGACACAUCUGCUCCAGGCACUGUUGCAGGCCUCACAGGUGCAGGAGCAGGUAAGACAAGCAGAAAUCUCUUAGAGGAUGGGCUUGGGGACUAGGUCCUGACUAGAACAGCACCGGAGGCCUGCCUGAGGUGGUGGCCCAUAAGCAAACACCUUCAAGAGGGGAGAGAAGGAGAUCAAGGCCCUCAGAAAAAAUGUUCCAGGCAGAGGGACCAGCAUGAGUACAAGAUCUGAUUGGCAUGGUCUAGAAGCAGAUUUUUACGCAGAGCUUCUGGAUAAAACACAGUCUGACACCUUGAUUUUAGCCCCAUGGGACCUGAGCAGAGAACCCAGCCAUGCUGUGCUGGAUUCUGACCUACAAAACUAAGAUAAUAAAUGGGUGAUGUUUCAAGACAGUAACUCAGGGUUAAUUUGUUUUGCAUCGAAGGAUGACUGAUACCGGGGAGGGGAGCAUCUGCUUUCAGUGUCAUGAUUAGAAAGAUCAUCUCCAUCCCAAGAUUCUUUUUUAAAAAUCAUUUUCAAGGGCUUUGUCUCCUUCCUUUUCUGCCUAUACUUGUAAGGAUGUUAUUUUGGCCACAAAGAUGAGACAGGAAUCCAUGUGCAGACACACUGCCACCCCGAGACACCUGCGCCACGGCAGGGUUCCUGGUGAACCCAGUACACCUUCUCUUGCCAACUACACUUUUGUUGACUCCUCGAUAGCAUUUCUUAUUUCAAGAAAUUUUUCAUAGCAAAAUUGCUGGAAGGAGCAAGUGACCUUUGAGGAUGUGGUUGUGGACUUCACCCAGGAGGAGUGGGAGCAACUGACCCCUGCCCAGAGGAUGCUGUACAGCGAUGUGAUGCUGGACACCUUUGAGCUCUUGGUCUCCAUAGGUGAGGCCAUGUCCAACCCCCCAAAUGGAUUCUAAUUUUUUUGAGUUAAAAGUUGGAGUAUGUCCAGCCGUUAAAGCAAAUACCUGAGAUAUGACUUAAGCCUCAGGGACCAGACUGCGUUGGUUUAGCAAAUGUCGCUUAGGAUGUUUUCCAUGCAAGUUAAAAUUCCCACCAGAAAAUGCCAGAAGCAGGACAUCAUGGGGUUAGAGGGACAUACGAGGUCCCAUAACUGCAGAGUCCUACGCUAGACCUGGGUCUUGCUGCGUAGCCGUCAGGAGCCCCCACCCUCCUCACCUCCCUCUGCACCUCUUUCUGCCACCAAUCACAGAUGGGACCCUAUAAAGGUGACAAGCGAGCUGUCAGGGUCCAGGACCAACGGAAAGACAGGGUCUGUGUCCUGGGUGCCCAUCAAAGUCCCCUGGGUUGUCUCCUUUCGGCCACCAAGCCCCAUCCACACUGGUCGGUGUUGGCAGCAGACAGGGGAGAGCAGAGUGCCGACUGGCCGGCCAGGCCUGGGUCACGUGUAAACCCUGAGCGGGGCGGGAUCAGGGACUGAGAGUGAGGCAGAUACGUUGGGUCCCAUACCACGAUGACUUCGGCCUCUCGGGGUCCCC